UUAGAGUUUGAUCCUGGCUCAGGAUGAACGCUAGCGGGAGGCUUAACACAUGCAAGUCGAGGGGCAGCACGAUGUAGCAAUACGUUGGUGGCGACCGGCGCACGGGUGAGUAACACGUAUGCAACCUACCCUGUACAGGGGGAUAACCCGGAGAAAUUCGGACUAAUACCGCAUAAUGAUAUUUGAGGGCAUCCUUAGAUAUUUAAAGCUUCGGUGGUACGGGAUGAGCAUGCGGAACAUUAGCUAGUUGGCAGGGUAAUGGCCUACCAAGGCAAUGAUGUUUAGGGGACCUGAGAGGGUGAUCCCCCACACUGGUACUGAGACACGGACCAGACUCCUACGGGAGGCAGCAGUGAGGAAUAUUGGUCAAUGGGCGGAAGCCUGAACCAGCCAUCCCGCGUGCAGGAAGACGGCCCUAUGAGUUGUAAACUGCUUUUCCAGGGGGCGAAACUUUCCGAUGUAUCGGGAUUUGACGGUACCCUGGGAAUAAGCAUCGGCUAACUCCGUGCCAGCAGCCGCGGUAAUACGGAGGAUGCGAGCGUUAUCCGGAUUUAUUGGGUUUAAAGGGUGCGUAGGCGGAUCGAUAAGUCAGUGGUGAAACCCUGCAGCUUAACUGUAGACUUGCCGUUGAUACUGUUGGUCUUGAGUGUGGUCAAGGUAGGCGGAAUGUGUAAUGUAGCGGUGAAAUGCUUAGAUAUUACACAGAACACCGAUUGCGAAGGCAGCUUACUGGGCCAUUACUGACGCUGAUGCACGAAAGCGUGGGGAUCGAACAGGAUUAGAUACCCUGGUAGUCCACGCCGUAAACG
rnacentral:rRNA from 1 species